rnacentral:lncRNA from 1 species
AUGCAAGGUGCAGUGAUGCAACACCCACUGCCAGCUUCACCAGCGUGGGGAUGCAUCUUCUGCUUUGAGGCUACAGGAACACGAGCUGGAGUAUGGAAGUGCUUGUCACUCCCUGCAGCCAUCUGUCCCCAAGGGCAGCCCCUUUCCUGCUCCCUUGCACAGCCAGUGGCAGCAGGUGUCCUGAAGGCAAGUGCCCUCCAGCCAAGGCAGAGAUCGAUGGCUAACCUCCAAGGGAAGGGCAGCAGAGGAAGCUCUCCAGCUGGUCAUCCCCGCUGCAGGGACAGAAAUCUUAAUGCUGUAGGGCCAGGGUGGACCAAGUGGCAUCUUCAGUGGUGGAGAAAAGCAGCAAGCCAGGCCCAGCAGCAUCCCUUUGGAGAUCUGCAGCAGGAUCCAGCCCUGCCAUGCCAUGCGGAGGGCUCAGAGCAUCCAGCACGGCCCCUGAUCGGGGCAGCAGCUCCCCCGGCGGUGCUGCUGGCAGGUGGAGGUGCCACGAUGAGAUCGACUCGCUGCUGUGUUUACAUCUAAAAUUAGAAGUGAAAUGAGAGAGCAUUAUGCUUGCAAUUUCCGGACGAUUAAAUUUAAAUAUAGCCACUCGCCACGGUGUUGUGCGAGGUGCAGCUCGGUGCCGCGCUGCUGAGCAAGCAGGGGCAUCCUCGUCCUGCGGCAGGGUGAGGCAGGCAUCGUGCAGCCGAGGAGCUGCCUGGCUCUGGGGAUUAAUGACCUUAUGUAGUCUGAAAGCCGAGCUGGGAGAAGAGAGAAAAAGCAUUGUUUUCUCGCCCUUUCUUUUAUUAGACUCUAAAUAAUUAUCAGGCGAAUCCUGCUCUGCAGCUUGCCGCUGCUCUGCAGCCCAGGCGGCCCUGGAGCACUGAAACCCAUGACUUGCCUUUCUCAGUUCCCUAGCAACGAGCCAAAGCAGCGAAAUGGGCUUGGCCUUAUCACAACAAGAUGUUAAAGCAAUUAAUAUUCAUCACCAGCGGCUCCCUGUGCUGGAAGCGCAGCCCUCUGCCCAGAGAGAGCAAGCAGGGGUAGCCCUGGUUGCAGAGAGAAAAAAUUUGAGACGGAAUUGCGUUGGGCUGAGAAUGAGGGUGCAUGUGCCUGCAUGAAGGGGAAUGUCCAAAAAUGAGAGUGCUCACACACUUGCCUGUGUGACCAUGUGGCUGCGAGCACCCCCAAAAUAAGGGAUCCCUACUACAAGUGAGUGGUGCUGUCGCCUUUGAGAAAAGAGACACAUUUUAGGGUUAAAUCUUGUGGCUCAGCAUGCUUCUGCCAAGCACAGCACCUGCUAGCUUGUCUUUGCAGUUUAAACCAAGCUCAGAGAACAGAUUUCUUAAGAAACUGCCACUUUCUUAAAAUCCCACUGGGAGCUGCUGGCCCGGCUGGUGCCCGAGCUGCUCCGCGCUGCAGCUCCAAGGGGAGACGGACAUGGACAUGGGACAGGAGCAGCGCCGAGCUUUGGUGCUGGAAACCACAGCAGCAGCUGCUCCCCUCUGCAGGCCAGGGCAGGUGGGAAGGGGGUGAUGCUGCAGGGAACCAUCCUGACGUGUGCCUCGACACAUCUGUUUCGGCCGUGGCUGUGUUACAGUGGAGGUGGCUGGGUGACCCUGCGCAUUAAUUCUGGGCUGCUGCAGUGAAAGCUCAUUUCUUACCCUGCUCCGAGAUGGGCAGGCAGCUCCAGGGGGAGAUGGAUAACCUGACUGAGAAAUGCAUUUUGCUUUCCUACGAAAGCUCGGAGCAAAUAAUGGUAUCUUUUUUUUUUUUUUUUUUCAUCAGAAUUCCAGGAGAAAACUGGGGCACGAGAAUGUUAUUAAAGAGGAAAAUAAAUAAAUAAACAACCAUAAGCCA